rnacentral:rRNA from 1 species
UACGGGGGGAGCAAGCGUUGUUCGGAUUUACUGGGCGUAAAGGGCGCGUAGGCGGCCACCGCAAGUCGACUGUGAAAUCUCCGGGCUUAACCCGGAAAGGUCAGCCGAUACUGCGGGGCUAGAGUGCAGAAGGGGCAACUGGAAUUCUCGGUGUAGCAGUGAAAUGCGUGGAUAUCGAGAAGAACACUUAGGGCGUAGGCAAGACUCUGGACAAAUGCUGACGCUCAUGCACGAAGGCUAGGGUAGCGAACGGG